rnacentral:rRNA from 1 species
AGUGCCCGAAAGGGAAUCGGAACACAGGUGCUGCAUGGCUGUCGUCAGCUCGUGUCGUGAGAUGUUGGGUUAAGUCCCGCAACGAGCGCAACCCUUAUCAUUAGUUGCUACGCAAGGGCACUCUAAUGAGACUGCCGGUGACAAACCGGAGGAAGGUGGGGAUGACGUCCAGUCCUCAUGGCCCUUAUGGGUAGGGCUUCACACGUCAUACAAUGGUCGGUACAGAGGGUUGCCAAGCCGCGAGGUGGAGCCAAUCCCASAAAGCCGAUCGUASUCCGGAUUGUUCUCUGCAACUCGAGAGCAUGAAGUCGGAAUCGCUAGUAAUCGCGGAUCAGCAUGUCGCGGUGAAUACGUUCCCGGGCCUUGUACACACCGAACG